rnacentral:rRNA from 1 species
AACGAACGCUGGCGGCAGGCUUAACACAUGCAAGUCGAACGGAUCCUUCGGGAUUAGUGGCAGACGGGUGAGUAACGCGUGGGAACGUACCCUUUGCUACGGAAUAACUCAGGGAAACUUGAGCUAAUACCGUAUGUGCCCUACGGGGGAAAGAUUUAUCGGCAAAGGAUCGGCCCGCGUUGGAUUAGCUAGUUGGUGGGGUAAUGGCCUACCAAGGGACGAUCCAUAGCUGGUCUGAGAGGAUGAUCAGCCACACUGGGACUGAGACACGGCCCAGACUCCUACGGGAGGCAGCAGUGGGGAAUAUUGGACAAUGGGCGCAAGCCUGAUCCAGCCAUGCCGCGUGAGUGAUGAAGGUCUUAGGAUUGUAAAGCUCUUUCACCGGUGAAGAUAAUGACGGUAGCCGGAGAAGAAGCCCCGGCUAACUUCGUG